CCGUGUCCCUGCACAUGUGGUGGCUGCUAUUGACGUGAGCACUGUUGCUAACGAAGUAUACAAGCAUAACUUCCCUCAUACACACUUACUGGCAAAGACAAUCGAAGGUAUUUCACUGGAAGAGUUUGACAAGCUAUCUUUCAAUAUGAUUUUAAUGAGCCCUCCAUGUCAGCCAUUCACAAGAAUUGGCCUACAGGGGGACAUGAGUGAUCGAAGGACAAAUAGCUUCUUGUAUAUUCUAGAUAUUCUCCCAAGGUUACAGAAGUUACCCAAGUAUAUUCUUUUAGAAAAUGUCAAAGGGUUUGAAGUUUCUUCUACAAGAGGGCUGCUGAUACAAACAAUGGAAGCCUGCGGCUUUCAGUAUCAAGAGUUUCUGUUGUCUCCGUCCUCUGGUAUUAGGUUGCAAGAAUUGCUUUCAUUUCAUGUAAGAAAUCAAACACUUGUUUUUUGAAAGACUGAUUUUUCUAGGCAUUCCAAACUCAAGGCUACGGUAUUUUCUCAUUGCGAAGCUUCAGUCAGAGCCUCUCUGUUUCCAGGCCCCUGGCCAGUGCAGUAAUGAUGAGUUAGAAGCUAACGUCAAAUUCUCAACUGCCAAGCUGGGAUUCUUGAUGCUGAAAGGUUUCCUUGAAGAUGGUGACACAGCUCAGUACCUUCUGCCAGCGAAGUCGCUGCUGCGCUACGCUCUCCUCCUCGACAUCGUUAAGCCCACCUCCAGGAGGUCCAUGUGCUUCACUAAAGGGUA
rnacentral:lncRNA from 1 species